UCGCUGACGAGUGGCGGACGGGUGAGUAAUGUCUGGGAAACUGCCUGAUGGAGGGGGAUAACUACUGGAAACGGUAGCUAAUACCGCAUAACGUCGCAAGACCAAAGAGGGGGACCUUCGGGCCUCUUGCCAUCGGAUGUGCCCAGAUGGGAUUAGCUAGUAGGUGGGGUAACGGCUCACCUAGGCGACGAUCCCUAGCUGGUCUGAGAGGAUGACCAGCCACACUGGAACUGAGACACGGUCCAGACUCCUACGGGAGGCAGCAGUGGGGAAUAUUGCACAAUGGGCGCAAGCCUGAUGCAGCCAUGCCGCGUGUAUGAAGAAGGCCUUCGGGUUGUAAAGUACUUUCAGCGGGGAGGAAGGGAGUAAAGUUAAUACCUUUGCUCAUUGACGUUACCCGCAGAAGAAGCACCGGCUAACUCCGUGCCAGCAGCCGCGGUAAUACGGAGGGUGCAAGCGUUAAUCGGAAUUACUGGGCGUAAAGCGCACGCAGGCGGUUUGUUAAGUCAGAUGUGAAAUCCCCGGGCUCAACCUGGGAACUGCAUCUGAUACUGGCAAGCUUGAGUCUCGUAGAGGGGGGUA
rnacentral:rRNA from 1 species